GAUGAACGCUGGCGGUAUGCUUAACACAUGCAAGUCGAACGGACUCUUCGGAGUUAGUGGCGGACGGGUGAGUAACGCGUGAGAAUCUGGCUUUGGGUUCGGGACAACCACUGGAAACGGUGGCUAAUACCGGAUGUGCCGAGAGGUAAAAGAGAAAUUGCCUGAAGAUGAGCUCGCGUCUGAUUAGCUAGUUGGUGAGGUAAAGGCUCACCAAGGCAGCGAUCAGUAGCUGGUCUGAGAGGAUGACCAGCCACACUGGGACUGAGACACGGCCCAGACUUCCUAGGGAGGCAGGCGGGGGGAAUUUUCCGGAAAUGGGGAAAGGCCUAACGGGGAAUACCGGGGGAGGGAAGAAGGGUUUUGGGGUGGAAACCCUUUUUCCUAAGGAAGAACAAAAAUGCGGUAACUAAGGAAUUAGGAACGGCCAACUCCGUG
rnacentral:rRNA from 1 species